UUUAUUCUUGCCCUCAUAGAGUUUGCAAGUGAGUCCUGGAGAGAUUAAUUGUUGAUUUACCAUUGUGGUAAAUGUUGCCAUUAGAGUUUAAAGUAAGGAUUGGCCAGGGUGGGGCCAGGGUGGUGAAGGAAUACAUCCUGAAAGGGUCAGUUAAACACUAGUCUAAAGGAUGCACUGGAGAUAGAGACAAAGGGGUGGGGCAAGGCAGACAGCUGGAAGAGCAUAUGCAAAGUUCCUGAGAUAACAAAGAGCUCAGUACUGAAGGAACUAAAAGAUAAAGGCCAGCCUAGGUGGAGCAGGUGAGCAAAACAGGAGAGGAAGGAGAAAGAGCCAGACAUCAUAGAGCCACAUCAUAGGCCAUGGAGGGGGGUUUUGGCUUCCUCUAAAUGCAAAUGGGAAGAUAUUGAAGGCACAAAGCCCAGGAAUGAUACAAGCUGAUACUUUUAAAGAACUCUCUGGUUACAGAGUGCACAAAAGACCGGGCCUGGAAUGAAGUGUGGGUUCUGAGAGUCCCUGGGGACACUGCCGCAAAAGCACAGAUCAGAAAACUGGAACAAGGGAGACAGCUGUGGAAGAGACAGAAGGGAGAGAAGAAGAAGCAUUCGUGGUAGAAAAAUGAAGAAUCUAUAGAGGUAAACUCAUUGCCAGAAGUCCUGGAGAUUCCUGUAUGUUUAAAAAAAUUUUUUUGUAUAUUUUUU
rnacentral:lncRNA from 1 species